CCUACGGGAGGCAGCAGUGGGGAAUAUUGGGCAAUGGAGGCAACUCUGACCCAGCAAUGCCGCGUGAGUGAUGAAGGUAAUUUUAUUGUAAAGCUCUUUUCUUUGGAACGAAGAAAUGACGGUACCAAAGGAAUAAGCCCCGGCUAACUACGUGCCAGCAGCCGCGGUAAUACGUAGGGGGCAAGCGUUGUGCUGACUGACUGGGCGUCAAGGGUGUGUAGGUGGUUGGAUAAGUGAGCUGUGUAAUACCCCGGGCUUAACGCGGGUGCUGCAUCUAAAACUGUUAGACUUGAGUACUGGAGAGUAUAGUGGACUUCCUUGUGUAGCGGUGUAAUGCGUAGAUAUUAGGAGGAACAUCAGUGGCGACGGCGACUAUCUGGACAGCACCUGACACUGAGGCACGAAAGCGUGGGGAGCAAACAGGAUUAGAUACCCCAGUAGUC
rnacentral:rRNA from 1 species